AGAGUUUGAUCCUGGCUCAGGAUGAACGCUAGCGGCAGGCUUAAUACAUGCAAGUCGAGGGGCAGCAUGAGUGUAGCAAUACAUUUGAUGGCGACCGGCAAACGGGUGCGGAACACGUACAGAACCUUCCUUCGAGCGGGGAAUAGCCCAGAGAAAUUUGGAUUAAUACCCCAUAGUAUAACGGAGUGGCAUCACUUUGUUAUUAAAGAUUUAUCACUUGAAGAUGGCUGUGCGGCUGAUUAGGUAGUUGGCGGGGUAACGGCCCACCAAGCCUGCGAUCAGUAACUGGUGUGAGAGCACGACCAGUCACACGGGCACUGAGACACGGGCCCGACUCCUACGGGAGGCAGCAGUAAGGAAUAUUGGUCAAUGGACGAAAGUCUGAACCAGCCAUGCCGCGUGGAGGAUGAAGGUCCUCUGGAUUGUAAACUUCUUUUAUAUGGGACGAAAAAGGGUCUUUCUAGAUCAACUGACGGUACCAUAUGAAUAAGCACCGGCUAACUCCGUGCCAGCAGCCGCGGUAAUACGGAGGGUGCAAGCGUUAUCCGGAUUCACUGGGUUUAAAGGGAGCGUAGGUGGGUUGGUAAGUCAGUGGUGAAAUCUCCGAGCUUAACUUGGAAACUGCCAUUGAUACUAUCAGUCUUGAAUAUUGUGGAGGUCAGCGGAAUAUGUCAUGUAGCGGUGAAAUGCUUAGAUAUGACAUAGAACACCAAUAGCGAAGGCAGCUGGCUACGCAUAUAUUGACACUGAGGCUCGAAAGCGUGGGGAUCAAACAGGAUUAGAUACCCUGGUAGUCCACG
rnacentral:rRNA from 1 species